UACGGGGGGGGGCAAGCGUUUGUUCGGAAUUACUGGGCGUAAAGGGCUCGUAGGUGGCCAACUAAGUCAGACGUGAAAUCCCUCGGCUUAACCGGGGAACUGCGUCUGAUACUGGAUGGCUUGAGUUUGGGAGAGGGAUGCGGAAUUCCUGGUGUAGCGGUGAAAUGCGUAGAUAUCAGGAGGAACACCUGCGGUGUAGACGGCUUACUGGACCAUAACUGACGCUGAGGCACGAAAGCGUGGGUAGCAAACAGG
rnacentral:rRNA from 1 species